rfam:Canis lupus familiaris chromosome 6, whole genome shotgun sequence.
AUCUUUUUGUAGUUGAUGAGCAUAAUGAUUGGGUGUUCACGCAGUUGUGUGACAAUGUGCCUCCUCAAACCUUGUUACGACCUUGGCAUAUUAUCCAUCUGACG